UGGGCAACACAGUGAGACCCCUCUUUAAACACACACAAACACACACACACACAAACACAAAAAACAAAAAUGGAAAGAGAAAAAAAAAACUGGUUCCAAGUGAUUACACUAUGCAAAUUACUUUCCUUUUCUGAACUUUAGUUUUUCUUUCUGUACAUCAAGAGCAUUCAGUUGGUGAUAUUAAAAUUCUCUGCUACUGCAGCUUAGGUUGUCGUAAUACAGUACUGUAGACUUGGGGGUCUUAAACAACAGAAAUUUAUUUCUUACAGUUCUGGAGGCUGGAAUUCCAGUAUCAAGGUGCUGGCAAGGUAUGUUCCAUUCUGAAAUCUUUUCCUUUGGCGUGAAGGUGGCUGCCAUCCUUGUGUGUUCCUGCGACCUCCUUGUAUGUGCUAGUGGGGGGAGGGAGGGAAGGAGGGAGAGAGAAAAGAGAGGCACACAAACUGGUCUCUCUCUCUCUCUCUCUUUUUUAAGGAGUCUCUCUUUUUUUUUUUAAGGGCACUAAUUUUAAUUCUUCAGGUCCUCAUCUAACCCUAAAUUGCUUCACAACGUUCCCACCUCCAAAUAUCAUC
rnacentral:lncRNA from 1 species